AUCGCUUCUCGGCCUUUUGGCUAAGGUCAAGUGUAGUAUCUGUUCUUAUCAGUUUAAUAUCUGAUACGUCCUCUAUCCGAGGACAAUAUAUUAAAUGGAUUUUUGGAACUAGGAGUUGGAAUUGGAGCUUGCUCCGUCCACUCCAAGGGGAAACAAAACAAAACAAAACAAAACCAACUCUA